UACGGAGGAUGCGAGCGUUAUCCGGAUUUAUUGGGUUUAAAGGGUGCGUAGGCGGGCUUUUAAGUCAGCGGUAAAAAUUCGGGGCUCAACCCCGUCCGGCCGUUGAAACUGGGGGUCUUGAGUGGGCGAGAAGAAGGCGGAAUGCGUGGUGUAGCGGUGAAAUGCAUAGAUAUCACGCAGAACCCCGAUUGCGAAGGCAGCCUUCCGGCGCCCUACUGACGCUGAGGUUCGAAAGCGUGGGUAGCAAACAGG
rnacentral:rRNA from 1 species